rnacentral:rRNA from 1 species
AUUGAACGCUGGCGGCAGGCCUAACACGUGCAAGUCGAGCGGCAGCGGGAAAGUAGCUUGCUACUUUUGCCGGCGAGCGGCGGACGGGUGAGUAAUGCCUGGGAAAUUGCCCAGUCGAGGGGGAUAACAGUUGGAAACGACUGCUAAUACCGCAUACGCCCUACGGGGGAAAGCAGGGGACCUUCGGGCCUUGGGCGAUUGGCUAUGGCCAGGUGGGAUUAGCUAGUUGGUGAGGUAAUGGCUCACCAAGGCGACGAUCCCUAGCUGGUUUGAGAGGAUGAUCAGCCACACUGGAACUGAGACACGGUCCAGACUCCUACGGGAGGCAGCAGUGGGGAAUAUUGCACAAUGGGGGAAACCCUGAUGCAGCCAUGCCGCGUGUGUGAAGAAGGCCUUCGGGUUGUAAAGCACUUUCAGCGAGGAGGAAAGGUUGAUGCCUAAUACGUAUCAACUGUGACGUUACUCGCAGAAGAAGCACCGGCUAACUCCGUGCCAGCCGCCGCCGUAAUAC